AGUGAACGCUGGCGGUAGGCCUAACGCAUGCAAGUCGAACGGCAGCACAGAGGAGCUUGCUCCUUGGGUGGCGAGUGGCGGACGGGUGAGGAAUACAUCGGAAUCUACUCUGUCGUGGGGGAUAACGUAGGGAAACUUACGCUAAUACCGCAUACGACCUACGGGUGAAAGCAGGGGAUCUUCGGACCUUGCGCGAUUGAAUGAGCCGAUGUCGGAUUAGCUAGUUGGCGGGGUAAGGGCCCACCAAGGCGACGAUCCGUAGCUGGUCUGAGAGGAUGCUCAGCCACACUGGAACUGAGACACGGUCCAGACGCCUACGGGAGGCAGCAGUGGGGAAUAUUGGACAAUGGGCGCAAGCCUGAUCCAGCCAUACCGCGUGGGUGAAGAAGGCCUUCGGGUUGUAAAGCCCUUUUGUUGGGAAAGAAAUCCAUCUGGUUAAUACCCGGGUGGGAUGACGGUACCCAAAGAAUAAGCACCGGCUAACUUCGUGCCAGCAGCCGCCGUAA
rnacentral:rRNA from 1 species